UGGUAUUGAAGAAGAUCCUUUCUAUACAAAAAGAACUUCAUCCCAAGCUGGGAAGGACCUUAUGUGGAAGGCCUCAUUUGGAAAAGCGUCGAUUUUGAUCAAAAGGGAUAACAAGGACAUACCUAAUCCUAUAAGUUUAGAUUCAAUUAGAAAUAUUUCAAAAAAAAAACAAAAAACAAAAAAAAACAAAACAAAACAAAAAAAAGGGAAAAGAAGAAAGAAAAUUG
rnacentral:lncRNA from 1 species